UGAAAUCAUUUUGCAAUAUAUGGAAAUAGA
rnacentral:piRNA from 1 species